GCCUAAGGGUGCGAACUCAUGCAGCGGAAUAGCGUAACGCGGGACGAGUCCGGAGCGCCAUCUUGGCAUAGUUUGCGUUUAGACGUACUUUUGAGUGCCUCUUGUGAAAUUGUCAAAUUAGCUUGUUUUUAGACUUUCUAGAGUGCUUUAUUCAGUCCUGAGCCGCCUCACUAUCGAGUGCCACCUCGGGAAUAGUGAAAAUCCGGCGUUCAGAAGCUUGCCGUUCUCUUAAUUCAACAUCUUCGAAGGAGGGAUCCUCCGGUCUACGCGGGAUUGAUCCGGAACCUACAAACAAACAAAUAAGUAAAUAAGUGAGUAAUACAUCUACUACGACUACUACUACUACAAUUACAUUUCUCUCUAACAAUGGACACGGAUACGGAUAUGGAUAAAGAAAACGAGGAUCCUCAAUUUGAGGCUGCCCUUAGCUCGUUGAUUUCAGAAGCUCGUUCGAAGCCCUUU